GGGAAAGACCGGCCAUUCCAGGACUGGCUGGACCCAGAGGCCACCACACAGGGCCCCUGUCCGCACAGACUUGUGCUUUUCACCUGCAGCCCUGGCAAUGUGAGUCUUAGCUAAGAAGGCGAAGGUCAGAUCACCCGGAGCAGGCAGUGGUCAGCUGUGGCCAAGUUGUUGAGGGGCCAAGGGUCUGGGGGACAGGGAGGGAGCCUGAUAUAGCAAAGGAGUGAGGGCCCAGAUGGGCCAAGGACUGAGCUAGGUAAGGGAAAUAGAGGCCAGGAGGGAGUCAGGCGCGGGAGGCCUCAGGGACAGGGAAGAGCAGGGAGUGGGGCGGAGGGACGUGGAUGUGACACAGGAGUGUCGUCAUUCUCAGAGGACCCCCAAGGCCUGAAGAAAAUUCUGGGGAGUAGUCAUGGCUAAGGUUAAAGGUUAAAGAGCUUCCCCUGGAGGCUCUGAUGCAAGACGCUUGUCCUGUGGAUGCUGGAAUCCCAGGAGGCAGGGCCUGGGGAAAGGGCAAACUCCCGUCAGGCCACAGGCCUCAGGAAUGCCACCCGGGACCGGCUGUUUGGGCAAAGGGGUGAGUCACAGAGCUGCAAGGCCUGAGCCCCAAGGAAGGGGACUUGCUCGAGGCAUUUGGAAGGAGCAGAACUGGCAGGACACCUCAUGGCUUGGACCUUCAUACCUCUCCCUUCUGCCUGGCACAGAGGCCUGCCACUCACACAUCUUGUUCCCCUAACUGAUCUCUGGGGCACACUUCCGCCUCCGAGAUGGGUACGAUUCAGGCCCUCUUGAGCUUCAUAACAAAGGGAAGAGGAAGUCAAGGGCUUGAACAAAUAGGAGCGUGACCACGGUGUACCCUGCUUGGUCGUUUGUGGGUUUUUUUGUUUUGUUUUGCUUUUUUGGUUUUUUUUUGGGGGGGUUGUUUUGUUUUUAGUAGUUUUUUUAUCCACUGGGUUAUGCAGAGUAGAGAGCAUUCCCAAGGGGCUGGAUGUCCUGGGGAUCCUCCCAAGGCAGGGGAAAGAGCAGGGAGAAGGUCCUGAGGCUGAGCUCCGUCCGUCCCCCCCCCGAAAAAACCAGAGAUUAGAGAACGGUAAUGACAGAGAGAUAGACACACUGUGGUAGAGACAACAGACCCAGAGAGAGAGAGAGAACGAGAGAGACAAGGAUUCAACAGAGGGACGGACAGGAAGACAGACCGCCUGAGACAGAGACGGGGAGAGAAGGUGCUGAGCAGGCUGGCCAGGUGCCCACGGCUCAUCCGGGAAGCUGCUGGGCUGGACCCAAUCAGUGCAAGAUGGAUGGCUGCUUUGGGAGGGCGAGAGGCCGCCAGGCAGGGCAGCUGGGCCGUCUCUCCCAUCUGCACGACGCGCUGCAGAAAGCCCGGCCAGCUGACCCUGUUUCCCAAUAGGCCGAUGGUGGGGUGCGCCCUCGGAGCUUCCUCAAGGACAGCAGGGGGGUGAGGAAGGGCUCUGCUUUGGAGACACGGACCCCAGCUCUGCCUCUCACUAGCUGUGAGGUCUCGAGGCCAUCGAGUUCCCUGGGUUGUCUUCAUUCCCAGCUCUAAAAUGAGAACCACCACCCCGGUCCUCAGUGAUUCUGACAUGUUUUCACCUGCUCCGCAGAAACAGGGACCUGGGUGAGCUGGGACGUCACAGUGUCCUUCAGGUCCAACAGGAACAUGAAGGGAACAGAUGCCUUCUGUGCCUGGCACCCUUUGGGGCUAGUUCCAAAAAUCUGGCCAAGCAGUUUGGGCUGAGGGUGGUGGUGAGUCAGGAGAAUAGGUUGUGACCCCAGGUCCCAGAGUUGCACAACUGAUAAAGAUCCCACCAGUAAAGGGCUCCUAUCCAGCUCCCCUUACUUCCAAACCCCGGCACUUAUGCUCGGUGCCAACCCCCACAGCCACAGGGAAGUAGACGGGCAAGUUUCAUCGUUCUGUCCUAACCAUCCAAGGGCUCUACUCCAGACAGUAGCCCUCAGCAGCAGGACUGGGAGAGACUCUUGCUCCUGGUCACCAAGGCCACCUGCACCCUAGCCUCAUCCAGUCUCUCUGCCAUUCAUUUACCCCUUCAUUCACUCAAACGUCGAACGUCUACCAGGUGCACUGGUAGGUGUGAUGAGCCCAGGAUGCGGGAAGAGGACACAGAGGGGAUCAAUCACCCUCUCCCCAGCUAUCCAAACCCCGGCUUAAAUGUUCCCUCUUCCAGAAGGCUUCCCAUAACGUCUACUAGGAUUGAGGCCUUUUUCCACCUCUGAGCCCAUAACACUUCUCCAAAGACCCACACCCUGGGGUCUUAUACAAGGUCUAGGAACGUAUAUGCAUUAUAUCCCUAUAGAUAGUCUCCUUUCUGGAGGCAGAGCCCACUCCCCGUUCAUCUUUGCCUCCUACAGAGCCCAGCACGGUAGCAAGGGGUCAGGGUUCGAAGGAUACAUAUUUGCCAGUCUUUGAACCUCAACGAUGCAUAAUAAUUACUGUCUUUAAACCUCAGUCUUUUCACUUGUAAAGUGAGGACAAUAAUCUUCACUUGCCAGUGUGGCCAGAUGGAUCAAAUGAGAUAUUGCAUGCGAAGUCCCCUGGCAAGCUGGAGGCCCUACACUCCUUGCAGCCAUGGGCUGUUGCUAAUAAUAUAGCAAUCUCAGGGCCGGAGCUGGGCUCAGAGAGGCAGGGAGCAGGCGCCCCUCUGUCUGCAGCUUCCCCUGCCUGACGGUGUGGAGGGGUUCUCUGAGCCUGAAACGACCCAAAUGUGGGCAGCCAGACUGCAGGGGCAGGAGAGAAGCUGUGGGAACCUGGAUACCCAGUUUCCAAGUCUGCCUUUAGCUCAAGGCUUUGAUGGAAUCUUUGCUUCAUCUCCCGCCUGGACUGUAAACUCUUGAAGAGCAUAGACCUGGUUUGCCCUGCAAUGGAGCUUUUCAUCCCUGCCUGGCACAAGGAAGGGGCUCAGAAUAUUUGAUGAGUAGCUGAGUGAGCUGGAAAGACAGACUGCAAGGAGUCUUUGAGAGUACGUACCCAAGAGAAUUGAAAAGAAAUUCUCAAAUGGAUACUUGUACGUCAAUAUUCACAGAGCAUUAUUCAUAAUUGCCAGAAGGUACAAACAGCCCGAGUAUCCAUCAACAGAUGAAUGGAUAAACACAAUUGGCUGAGUCCACACAAAGGAAUAUUAUUCCACCAGAAAAUGAAUGACGUCCGGGGGACAAAACAGAAGAGACUCAUAAAUAUAGAGAACAAACUGAGGGUUACUGCAGGGGUUGUGG